CUGGCUCAGAUUGAACGCUGGCGGCAGGCCUAACACAUGCAAGUCGAGCGGUAGAGAGGUGCUUGCACCUCUUGAGAGCGGCGGACGGGUGAGUAAUGCCUAGGAAUCUGCCUGGUAGUGGGGGAUAACGCUCGGAAACGGACGCUAAUACCGCAUACGUCCUACGGGAGAAAGCAGGGGACCUUCGGGCCUUGCGCUAUCAGAUGAGCCUAGGUCGGAUUAGCUAGUUGGUGAGGUAAUGGCUCACCAAGGCGACGAUCCGUAACUGGUCUGAGAGGAUGAUCAGUCACACUGGAACUGAGACACGGUCCCAGACUCCUACGGGAGGCAGCAGUGGGGAAUAUUGGACCAAUGGGCGAAAGCCUGAUCCAGCCAUGCCGCGUGUGUGAAGAAGGUCUUCGGAUUGUAAAGCACUUUAAGUUGGGAGGGAAGGGCAUUAACCUAAUACGUUGGUGUCUUGACGUUACCUUACAG
rnacentral:rRNA from 1 species